rnacentral:rRNA from 1 species
GAUGAACGCUAGCGGCAGGCCUAACACAUGCAAGUCGAACGGUAACAGCAGAGCUUGCUCUGGCUGACGAGUGGCGCACGGGUGCGUAACGCGUAUACAAUCUACCUUUUACAGGGGGAUAGCCUUUAGAAAUGAAGAAUAAUACCCCAUAGUAUUUUCAAGUCGCAUGAUUUUGGGAAUUAAAGAUUUAUCGGUAAGAGAUGAGUAUGCGUUCUAUUAGCUAGUAGGUAAGGUAACGGCUUACCUAGGCAACGAUAGAUAGGGGCCCUGAGAGGGGGAUCCCCCACACUGGUACUGAGACACGGACCAGACUCCUACGGGAGGCAGCAGUGAGGAAUAUUGGACAAUGGGCGGAAGCCUGAUCCAGCCAUGCCGCGUGCAGGAAGACUGCCCUACGGGUUGUAAACUGCUUUUAUACAGGAAGAAACCUAUGUACGUGUACAUAGCUGACGGUACUGUAAGAAUAAGGAUCGGCUAACUCCG